rnacentral:rRNA from 1 species
GCUUACACAUGCAAGUCUACUUGAACUUCGGUUUGGGUGGCGGACGGGUGAGUAACGCGUAAAGAACUUGCCUCACAGUUAGGGACAACAUUUGGAAACGAAUGCUAAUACCUGAUAUUAUGAUUUUAGGGCAUCCUAAGAUUAUGAAAGCUAUAUGUGCUGUGAGAGAGCUUUGCGUCCCAUUAGCUAGUUGGAAAGGUAACGGCUCACCAAGGCGAUGAUGGGUAGCCGGCCUGAGAGGGUGAACGGCCACAAGGGGACUGAGACACGGCCCUUACUCCUACGGGAGGCAGCAGUGGGGAAUAUUGGACAAUGGACCAAAAGUCUGAUCCAGCAAUUCUGUGUGCACGAUGACGUUUUUCGGAAUGUAAAGUGCUUUCAGUUGGGAAGAAAAAAAUGACGGUACCAACAGAAGAAGUGACGGCUAAAUACGUGCCAGCAGCCGCGGUAAU